CUCAAAGGAAUUGACGGGGACCCGCACAAGCGGUGGAGCAUGUGGUUUAAUUCGAUGCAACGCGAAGAACCUUACCUGGCCUUGACAUCCAUGGAAUCCCGAAGAGAUUUGGGAGUGCCGCAAGGAACCAUGAGACAGGUGCUGCAUGGCUGUCGUCAGCUCGUGUCGUGAGAUGUUGGGUUAAGUCCCGCAACGAGCGCAACCCUUGUCCUUAGUUGCCAUCAUUCAGUUGGGAACUCUAAGGAGACCGCCGGUGACAAACCGGAGGAAGGUGGGGAUGACGUCAAGUCAUCAUGGCCUUUAUGGCCAGGGCUACACACGUGCUACAAUGGCAGGUACAGAGGGAAGCCAACCGGCGACGGGGAGCUAAUCCCAGAAAACCUGUCUUAGUCCGGAUUGGAGUCUGCAACUCGACUCCAUGAAGUUGGAAUCGCUAGUAAUCGCAGAUCAGCAUUGCUGCGGUGAAUACGUUCCCGGGUCUUGUACACACCGCCCGUCACACCAUGGGAGUUGAUUGCGCC
rnacentral:rRNA from 1 species